AGAGCGAACGCUGGCGGCAGGCUUAACACAUGCAAGUCGAGCGCCCCGCAAGGGGAGCGGCAGACGGGAGAGUAACACGUGGGAACGUACCUUUCGGUUCGGAACAACCCAGGGAAACUUGGGCUAAUACCGGAUACGCCCGCAAGGGGAAAGAUUUAUCGCCGGAAGAUCGGCCCGCGUCUGAUUAGCUAGUUGGUGAGGUAACGGCUCACCAAGGCGACGAUCAGUAGCUGGUCUGAGAGGAUGAUCAGCCUCACUGGGACUGAGACACGGCCCAGACUCCUACGGGAGGCAGCAGUGGGGAAUAUUGGACAAUGGGCGCAAGCCUGAUCCAGCCAUGCCGCGUGGGUGAUGAAGGCCCUAGGGUUGUAAAGCCCUUUGGCGGGGAAGAUAAUGACGGUACCCGCAGAAGAAGCCCCGGCUAACUUCGCGCCAGCAGCCGC
rnacentral:rRNA from 1 species